AGGAUUAUUAUGACUUCAUCAGCUUCAGGAAUAUAUGGCAACUUUGGCCAGGCCAAUUAUAGUGCUGCAAAGUUGGGUCUUCUGGGCCUUGCAAAUUCUCUUGCAAUUGAAGGCAGGAAAAGCAACAUUCAUUGUAACACCAUUGCUCCUAAUGCGGGAUCACGGAUGACUCAGACAGUUAUGCCUGAAGAUCUUGUGGAAGCCCUGAAGCCAGAGUAUGUGGCACCUCUUGUCCUUUGGCUUUGUCACGAGAGUUGUGAGGAGAAUGGUGGCUUGUUUGAGGUUGGAGCAGGAUGGAUUGGAAAAU
rnacentral:lncRNA from 1 species